CUAAAGCAAUGAAAAUACUAUACUCUUUAUUGUUUCAGAAUGGGGGCAGGGAGAAAAGAUGGCCAAAGAUAAUACGUACAUAUAGGUACUGAUUUAGGCUAAUUUAAAACCACAUCAAAUGACUGAAGUUUCAGGAAUGAGCAAUUUUAUAAAAGUUUUCCCCUCCACUCUGGAAACCAUUAGGGUGGCUAUAAAAGGUAUAAUUAACCAACUAUCAGAUUUUUUUUUUUUUUUUUUUUUUUGAGAUGGAGUUUCGCUCUUGCUGGAGCGCAAUGACGCAAUCCCGGCUCACUGCAACCUUCACUUCCCAGUUCAAGCGAUUCUCCUGCCUCAGCCUCCUGAGUAGCUGGGAUUACAUACACCCGCCACCACGCCCGGCUAAUGUUUGUAUUUUUAGUAGAGAUGGGGUUUCGCCACGUUGGCCAGGCUAGUCUUGAACUCCUGACCUAAGGUGAUCUGCCCACCUUAGCCUCCCAAAGUGCUGGGAUUACAGGCGUGAGACACCGUGCUCGGCCCAACUAUCAGAUUUUUAAAAUGUUCUUCCUUUUAAGAGCAUUUUCCUAAACUGGAUGCUUCUAGAGUGGUAUCGGGAAACUGAGCAUCUCUCUGAAUAUCUCACACUGAAACUUAGUGUCAAAAAGGAAAUUUAAACGCACCACUUCAGUGACAUUCUUUUGGGACUUAGUAGUACAAUUUAUAAAACAAUCUACUAAUGUACACUUUAGGACUUUUUCACAAUUACAUUCUAUGACAACAAAUUUUAAAUGUGUUUGUAGGUAUGUGUGGAGAUGCUUCAACUUAAGUUUCACUAUUUCCACAGUGAAUUCACCCAUCAGAUUGUGCUUUUAAGGGUAGAGUUUAUUAGACAAUGUACAUUUAGGUAUGUUUUUGGAUGGUACCAACCCUCUGUAUUAUUACUAAGUCAUAGUUGCAUUAAAAUGUUUUGGUCAACCAAGUGUGUUCAGGUGGCCUGUGCCCUGGGAAGAGAGCAGCACCUGCAGAGGUAGGGGAAUGCAGGCCUGAUGGGAGGGAGGGCUGACCCAGCUACAGUUUCAGCCCAGGCCCAGACUGGUUCCUCCAUAAUCUAUAUCCGCUACAAAGAGGGAAGACAUUUGGAGGAAGCUAACUAUAAAUCAAGUGAGAUCAUUUAUUAGGUUGGUGCAAAGGGAACUGUUUUUGCCACUGGCAUUAAAAGCAUUAAACGCAAUGGCAAAACUGCAAUCCCCUUUGCACCAACUCAACAUCUUCCACCAGUUCUUAGAGUUCAUGUCUUAUCAUCUUAAGCCUCAUACCAAAGACAAUGAUUAGAAAGAGCCAAAUGAACUGUGCUGACAUCUGCUGAGUGGGACAGUUAUCCACCUUAGCAGCCUACAGAACGUGGAGCAUCAGAGGAGCCACAAGAAACCCAAACAGACAUCACAGAAGAUUGGCUAUAGCAAGGGAGGUUAUCAGCUUCAUUCUUUCCUCUCCAUAAGUGAAAAUACUAAAUUACAGUAUUUGAGAGUUGGAGGUAGACAUAAUGUAUAUCUGCUAAUUUGUCCAACUGAUAAGAAAAGACCAUUAAAAAACUAUAGUGUCUUAAAAACUUGUCAUAAAAUAAGGAUUUUUUCACAUCAAUGGGGAAAAGAUAGAUAAAAGUUAUUCAGUAAGUAUUAUCAGGAAAAGUGGGGUAGCUAUUUGGAAAAAUAAAUGUGGAUUGCUACCCUACUUCUUUCACCAAAAUAAAUUUCAUAUAACAAUGAAACCAAAAAGGAAACACACAAGAAACAUUUUUGUAACCUCGGAUUGGGGAAACAUUUUUAUAACCUCAAAUUGGGGAAGAUCGUUUGAGGUUAAGAAAAAAACUCAGAAACUGUAAAAUAAGAGACUGACAGAUCUGACCAGGAAAAACUUAAAAUCUGCACAUGGUAAAUUCCACCCAAACAAAAGAAAUGACAACACAUGAUAGAAAAGAACCAAUUUCCUCAAUAAAGGACAGGUACUCACAAGUCUUGACAGUAAAGACCAACAUGCGAUAGGAAUAUGGGCAAAUAGAACAUUCACAGAAAAAAAAAAUGGCCUUAAAAUAUAGUAAAAUGUUAAACUUUGCUCAUAAGGAAAAUACAAAGCAAAACCACAGGUCAAAGUUUUUACUUAUCAGAUUGUCAAAGAUCAGAAAGGCGGUCAGGGUGUAGGAAAAUUAAAGCAGUCAUAUUGCUGUAGUAUAAGGAUUAAUUGGUAAAAUCGCUUUGGAAGACAUGUCACAUAAAUCUAUAGAAUGCAAUUCCUCCAUCUAUGUAUACAAAGAUCUUACCUAUAUAAAAGGAAACUCAUUGCAGCAUGGUUCACAGUAGCAAAAAACUAGGAACAGCAAAGCCGACCAGAAUAGAGACUGAUGUAACUGUGGUAUGCCCAGACCAUGGAGUACCACUGCACCUAUGAAGAGGAAGGAUGCAGAUCUAGAUCUAUGUAUGCGGAAUGAUUUCUGAGGUUUACCAUUUUAGAAAAAUCAAAGGUGCAGAAUAGUAUAUGUAUUUAUGGAAAAAAAUGAGGUGGAGUGAAUAUACCCAUAUACACUAAAAGAGUGGUUUUUGAGUGUGUCUCCCAGAUCAGCAGAAGCAGCACAACCCGGGACCUUUUAAGCAUGCAAGUUAUAGGGCAACAUUCAGAUCUACUGACUCAGAACGUCUGAGGAAAGGGUCAAGCAAUCUGUUUUAAUAACCUUUCAGGUGAUUCUGAUGCAUGCUCAAGUUUAAAGAUACACAGAAAAUGGUCAAAGUUGUUGCCUCUGGGGAGGAGAAACAGAAGAGCGACAGGAGUGAAAGACUCUUUUUGCUUUGAUAUAUCUGGAUUCUUUUACCAUGGGUGUGUAUUGCCUACUUCAUAAAGUUAUGAAGUAUCACCUGCUUUACAUGAAAUUUACCCAGGCUGGAAUAAAACAGCAUGAUCAUGGGUCAUUGCAGCCUUGACAUCCCAGCUCAAGUGAUCCUCCCAACUCAGCCUCCCAAGUAGCUGGGACUACAGGCAUGCUCUAUCACGCGUGGCCAAUUUUUUAAUUUUUAGUAGAGAUGCGGUCUCCUCUAUGCUGCCCAGGCUGGGUCUUGAACUCCUGAGCCCAAGCAGUCCUCCCGUCUUGGCCAUCCAAAGUGCUGGGAUUACAGGCAUGAGCCACGGCACCUGGCCAGCAUGAUUCUUAAAAAACAAAAAGAAAAACAAAAACACAGCCGGGCGUGGUGGCUCACGCCUGUAAUCCCAGCACUUUGGGAGGCCGAGGCGGACAGAUCACGAGAUCAGGAGAUUGAGACCAUCCUGGUUAACACAGUGAAAUCCCGUCUCUACUAAAAAUACAAAAAAAUUAGCCGGGCGUGGUGGUGGGCGCCUGUAGUCCCAGCUACUCGGGAGGCUGAGUUCACGCAGGAGAAUGGCGUGAACCCGGGAAGUGGAGCUUGCAGUGAGCUGAGAUCAUGCCACAGCACUCCAGCCUGGGCGACAGAGCAAGACUCCGUCUCAAAACAAAACAAAACAAAACAAACAACAAAAAAAAAAACCCACAACAACCUAUUUUAGACCAAGAUUUCAGUGCAGAAGAUGAAGCACAUUUAUAAAUUACCAUGUAUGACUUGGCAUAGCAGAGCCUAAGUUUGGUGAUAAUGAACCUGUUAUUUACUGAGCAGAGGUUUUAAAAAGGAGGAAAACCUUCAUAAUUCUCACUUAGAAUGAGGCAAUUACCCUUAUAGAGAGUAAAAACAAUUAGAAACCAAUAAUAAAGGCAAAGACAAAGAGAAAAAUUGAACCUUUUUUUUUUUUUUAAAAAAAGCACAUAAACCCUACAUACUAAAAUUAUACAC
rnacentral:lncRNA from 10 species